rnacentral:rRNA from 1 species
GAUGAACGCUGGCGGCGUGCCUAAUACAUGCAAGUCGAGCGAACAGACGAGGAGCUUGCUCCUCUGACGUUAGCGGCGGACGGGUAAGUAACACGUGGAUAACCUACCUAUAAGACUGGGAUAACUUCGGGAAACCGGAGCUAAUACCGGAUAGUAUAUUGAACCGCAUGGUUCAAUAGUGAAAGACGGUUUUGCUGUCACUUAUAGAUGGAUCCGCGCCGCAUUAGCUAGUUGGUAAGGUAACGGCUUACCAAGGCGACGAUGCGUAGCCGACCUGAGAGGGUGAUCGGCCACACUGGAACUGAGACACGGUCCAGACUCCUACGGGAGGCAGCAGUAGGGAAUCUUCCGCAAUGGGCGAAAGCUUGACGGAGCAACGCCGCGUGAGUGAUGAAGGUCUUCGGAUCGUAAAACUCUGUUAUUAGGGAAGAACAAAUGUGUAAGUAACUAUGCACGUCUUGACGGUACCUAAUCAGAAAGCCACGGCUAACUACGU